CGUCUGCUGGAAGGUCCUCCUCGCAAAAUAUUCACCGGGGUGGGACACUUGUAGACUCCCCGAUGUUGCUAAUGUACGGUCCCAGAGCGACCAACGUUGAGGCACAUCGACCUUGCUGAGGCGCAUGGGGACAGAUCUAUCUUUCUGAACUGAUUGGCCUCGUCUGCUUCACGCUCUUUCUUCCUUUCCUUCCUAACAAAUCCUACAGCGUGCUUAAAUAUGCUAAACAUCUUCCAUCCCACCUCCUCCAAAGUCAAGGAGCGUUAAGAAAGAAUGUCAGGACGAAGCCAGCCAGCAGUCCCCGGCGGAGGGCAAGGGAGUCACCGGCAUCUUUCCAGACUCGCUAUUUAUUUGGUUUCUUUUCCGUUUUGGCUGAUUGGCGCACUCUCCUUCUCCCCUUCUGGCCUCUCUCUCUCUCUGGCGUGUGUUGGUGAGUCUGUGCAUCACGCAUAAAGCCCUCUUUAUCCCUGACAGCAUCAGAGAGGAAGCAGAGUGCAUGGCCCAAGGAACAUCUGGAAUCGCUACAUGGAAGCUAUGCACCAAAAGGGGAGGAUGACAUCCUUCAAGCCUCCAUCCAAGGUAUGGAGGCUUCCUCUCCCCCUCCCACCAACCUUAUCCACCAGACGGCUCGGUUCUUCUCGAACUCUGACCUUCUCGGCGAUUGACAAGCUCCUCCUUUGAGGCAAGAGCCUGCAAGGUUGAAGAAAAAGAAGAUGCUACUCGGAGCCGGUUCUAGAGAAGGAAGAGCGCUGGAUGUCUCUAGAGAAGAUGGAAAAGACGCGUUCACGCUUCAGCUGCUUCGCUGACCAAGUCUUCUCUCUUUGAAAGGAUCUCCUCUACGCCCAGUUAAAAGUCCAAGAGCCCAUUCCAAGCCAAGCUGGAAGAUUUAAGAAGCUGAAGAUAGAAUACAACGUGGAUAUUGCAGUGGCUUAUGCACAGUAGGUAAAAUUCUUCCUAAAAGAGCAUCUGUAUGUGCAAAUAUCUCCAUAUUUUAUUUAUAGCGGCAUAUUCUGCCUUUUAACAAGAUGGUAUAUUUCCUCUUCUUUGGCCCUGAAAGAAGCUGGCCCUCCAUACUAACCAUAUUGUAUAAUGUCACCCAGGAGAACAGAACCAGUGUCAGCUGAAAAGUUCUUAAGAAUCUGGGAAAGAUAGAUGGGAUUUUUUGAAUGAACUUGGUUUGGCUUUUUUGUUUUUGUUUAAUUUCUUGGAAUAAAUUGGAUUUUGACGUCAAGUUUUUAAAAUGCGACUGGGUAUC